UACGUAGGUGGCAAGCGUUAUCCGGAAUUAUUGGGCGUAAAGGGUGCGUAGGCGGCCUGUUAAGUAAGUGGUUAAAUUGUUGGGCUCAACCCAAUCCAGCCACUUAAACUGGCAGGCUAGAGUAUUGGAGAGGCAGGUGGAAUUCCAUGUGUAGCGGUAAAACGCGUAGAUAUAUGGAGGAACACCAGUGGCGAAGGCGGCUUGCUAGCCAAAGACUGACGCUCAUGCACGAAAGCGUGGGGAGCAAAUA
rnacentral:rRNA from 1 species